UCGAUGGUUCCAGCUCUGACACAACAAUCCCCUGCUCUGCCUCAAACACUUCCCUUCUGAACUUCAGCCUCGUCUGGAGAUUCAACCACAGUCGGAUCAUCCUGAACCGGACCAGGACCAGCGUCCCCUACACAGUCUCAGAGGAGUGGAGGCAGCAGGUGAAGGGUGUGUCUGAGUCAGGCAGCCUCACACUACAAGACUUGUCUUUGAAACAGGAGGGGAUAUACACCUGUGAACUCAGCGAUGACGAGGAGACAAACAUAACAAACAUCCUGCUGAGGAUACAAGGGAGUCAAACUGGUGUCACAGGUGUUAUUGUAGGUUUGGUGGUUGGAGCCAUUUUGGUUGUAGUUCUAGCAGCAGGACUUGUUGUCCUGUACUGUAAAUAUCAAAAGAGAGGAAGAAGACCAGACACAGAGCUGUGAAACCUUAUUAGGUUGUUUGCAGAAAGAUCAACGUGAAGAAACGAGUGAAGAGGGACAAAGUCAGCAUGAGGAAGAAGCUGAUUGCUGACAAG